rnacentral:rRNA from 1 species
GACGAACGCUGGCGGCGUGCUUAACACAUGCAAGUCGAACGGAAAGGCCCUGCUUUUGUGGGGUGCUCGAGUGGCGAACGGGUGAGUAACACGUGAGUAACCUGCCCUUGACUUUGGGAUAACUUCAGGAAACUGGGGCUAAUACCGGAUAGGAGCUCCUGCUGCAUGGUGGGGGUUGGAAAGUUUCGGCGGUUGGGGAUGGACUCGCGGCUUAUCAGCUUGUUGGUGGGGUAGUGGCUUACCAAGGCUUUGACGGGUAGCCGGCCUGAGAGGGUGACCGGCCACAUUGGGACUGAGAUACGGCCCAGACUCGUACGGGAGGCAGCAGUGGGGAAUAUUGCACAAUGGGCGGAAGCGUGAUGCAGCAACGCCGCGUGCGGGAUGACGGCCUUCGGGUUGUAAACAGCUUUCGCCUGUGACGAAGCGUGAGUGACGGUAAUGGGUAAAGAAGCACCGGCUAACUACGUG